rnacentral:rRNA from 1 species
UGGGGAAUAUUGGACAGUGGGGGAAACCCUGAUCCAGCAAUGCCGCGUGAGUGAUGAAGGCCUUAGGGUUGUAAAGCUCUUUUACCCGGGAUGAUAAUGACAGUACCGGAAGAAUAAGCUCCGGCUAACUCCGUGCCAGCAGCCGCGGUAAUACGGAGGGAGCUAGCGUUGUUCGGAAUUACUGGGCGUAAAGCGCGCGUAGGCGGGCUGGUCAGUUGGGGGUGAAAUCCCGGGGCUUAACCUCGGAACUGCCCUCAAUACUACCAGUCUAGAGAUCGAGAGAGGUAAGUGGAAUUCCUAGUGUAGAGGUGAAAUUCGUAGAUAUUAGGAAGAACACCAGUGGCGAAGGCGGCUUACUGGCUCGAUACUGACGCUGAGGCGCGAAAGCGUGGGGAGCAAACAGGAUUAGAUACCCCUGUAGUCC